rnacentral:lncRNA from 1 species
UGAAAACAAAGCAACUUCAUAGAAAUGGCUCACUCUGGACAUCACCAGGCAACACUCUCAUCAAAUACAUAGGACCACUGUGCUGCAUUUUGGGGUUAAUUGCUGAGGCCAAGCUCCCUUCUUUCUCCCCCAAUCUAGGAGAUGCUUUUCAUGCCCAUCCUGGGGACCAAGUUCACAGUUAUGAGAGCAUCCUCAGGUCUCCCUGCUUCAAUUAUUGCACCACCGUUAUAAUAAAGUCGAGAGCUAUGAAACAACAGAGUAUCUACCUUUCAGGGGAGUUGGAACAUUAAAAUAAGCUCAUCUGAGAGGAACAUUUAGCAGACCAGGCUAAUGUCUUUCCCAGGCUGAGUUGAUGAUUCUGUGGUCAGAAAUCACAUCGGCUUUAAUGAGGACAUUUAAGAUGAUUUUUAUGUUGACGUGGGAAAAAAAGUAAUUAGCAUUAAAGAAGAUGGAGAUGAUGACAUCAAUGACCCUUUGCCUUGGGAAUGGUCCUCUGGAACUGACAGGAUUGAUGGGUCUGUGGCCUCGUGACAACUCCUGCUGUCUUCAGGGCGACCCUAACACUUGCCCAGUGUCUUGAAGUGACUUGGCAGCUCCAAGGACAGAUCAGGAAAGAGGGAGAGGACAGGAGUAAGCAGCAGGAGGUGAGGCACUCGUUGUGCGGGGGUGGGGGGG